GAUGAACGCUGGCGGCGUGCCUAAUACAUGCAAGUCGAGCGAACGGACGAGAAGCUUGCUUUUCUGAUGUUAGCGGCGGACGGGUGAGUAACACGUGGAUAACCUACCUAUAAGACUGGGAUAACUUCGGGAAACCGGAGCUAAUACCGAAUAAUAUUUUGAACCGCAUGGUUCAAAAGUGAAAGACGGUCUUGCUGUCACUUAUAGAUGGAUCCGCGCUGCAUUAGCUAGUUGGUAAGGUAACGGCUUACCAAGGCAACGAUGCAUAGCCGACCUGAGAGGGUGAUCGGCCACACUGGAACUGAGACACGGUCCAGACUCCUACGGGAGGCAGCAGUAGGGAAUCUUCCGCAAUGGGCGAAAGCCUGACGGAGCAACGCCGCGUGAGUGAUGAAGGUCUUCGGAUCGUAAAACUCUGUUAUUAGGGAAGAACAUAUGUGUAAGUAACUGUGCACAUCUUGACGGUACCUAAUCAGAAAGCCACGGCUAACUACGUGCCAGCAGCCGCGGUAAUACGUAGGUGGCAAGCGUUAUCCGGAAUUAUUGGGCGUAAAGCGCGCGUAGGCGGUUUUUUAAGUCUGAUGUGAAAGCCCACGGCUCAACCGUGGAGGGUCAUUGGAAACUGGAAAACUUGAGUGCAGAAGAGGAAAGUGGAAUUCCAUGUGUAGCGGCGAAAUGCGCAGAGAUGUGGAGGAACACCAGUGGCGAAGGCGACUUUCUGGUCUGUAACUGACGCUGAUGUGCGAAAGCGUGGGGAUCAAACAGGAUUAGAUACCCUGGUAGUCCACGCCGUAAACGAUGAGUGCUAAGUGUUAGGGGGUUUCCGCCCCUUAGUGCUGCAGCUAACGCAUUAAGCACUCCGCCUGGGGAGUACGACCGCAAGGUUGAAACUCAAAGGAAUUGACGGGGGCCCGCACAAGCGGUGGAGCAUGUGGUUUAAUUCGAAGCAACGCGAAGAACCUUACCAAAUCUUGACAUCCUUUGACAACUCUAGAGAUAGAGCCUUCCCCUUCGGGGGACAAAGUGACAGGUGGUGCAUGGUUGUCGUCAGCUCGUGUCGUGAGAUGUUGGGUUAAGUCCCGCAACGAGCGCAACCCUUAAGCUUAGUUGCCAUCAUUAAGUUGGGCACUCUAAGUUGACUGCCGGUGACAAACCGGAGGAAGGUGGGGAUGACGUCAAAUCAUCAUGCCCCUUAUGAUUUGGGCUACACACGUGCUACAAUGGACAAUACAAAGGGCAGCGAAACCGCGAGGUCAAGCAAAUCCCAUAAAGUUGUUCUCAGUUCGGAUUGUAGUCUGCAACUCGACUACAUGGAGCUGGAAUCGCUAGUAAUCGUAGAUCAGCAUGCUACGGUGAAUACGUUCCCGGGUCU
rnacentral:rRNA from 1 species